rnacentral:lncRNA from 1 species
UCUAAUUGUGAUAUUAUCGUCGAGCGCAGCUUGUUGUUGUUGGUCAAUGCCUUUGCCCGCGAAAAAUAGUGGAAAUCAAAAGAGGAAUUGCGUAAAACGGAUAAAUGAGCGUAAAGUUAUGCCGUUUUAAGGUUUUACAUCUUCGCACCUAAAGCGGAAGGAGGAAAGGUAUUAAGAGAAUUUAGAGUGCAAGGAAUGUCAGAUGCGAUCAUACUAGCACUAACGCAUCGGAUCCCAUUAGAACUCCGAAGUAAAGAGUGCUAGGGCGAGAGUAGUACUAGGAUGGGUGACCCCCUGGGAAGUCCUCGUGUUGCAUCCCUCUUUUUAGGCAAAAUUUAUAUCUUACUUCUUUUAAUGUAUCGGCCGUAUGUUUAAUAAAUUCACAAAUGAGUUUUAAGCAGUGUAAACGAAAUAGAUAUUUUUUUACACGAAAUAACAGUAUUUUAAAAGUUAUAGUUAUGAAAAAAACAUCAAAAAAGCAAUAUAUAGUAAAUACGGAAAAUAUUUACGGGCUUAACAACGCUGCACUUGACACGUCACUACGCCUUGACCUCGAAGGCGACAUCCGUAAAACGUCUAGUUGAGACGUCACCGUUCCAUGCGGCCUAGUGUGAUAGGCAUGUAGCUAGGCCUUAAGGCCCCUCUAAUUGUGAUAUUAUCGUCGCGCGCGGCUUGUUGUUGUUGGUCAAUGCCUUUGCCCCCGGAAAAUAGUGGAAAUCAAAAGAGGAAUUGCGUAAAACGGAUAAAUGAGCGUAAAGUUAUGUCGUUUUAAGGUUUUACAUCUUCGCACCUAAAGCGAAAGUAGGAAAGGUAUUAAGAGAAUUUAGAGUGCAAGGAAUGUCGGAUGCGAUCAUACCAGCACUAACGCACCGGAUCCCAUCAGAACUC